CGCGUGGAUAAUCUACCUUCGAGUUCGGAAUAACCCGCUGAAAGGCGAGCUAAUACCGGAUAAGACCACACUACUUAAGUAGAGCGGUUAAAGGCGGGGACCCUUCGGGGCCCGUCGCUUGAUGAGGAGUCCGCGUCCCAUCAGCUAGUUGGUGAGGUAACGGCUCACCAAGGCUUAGACGGGUAACUGGUCUGAGAGGACGAUCAGUCACACUGGCACUGGAACACGGGCCAGACCCCUACGGGAGGCAGCAGUGGGGAAUAUUGCGCAAUGGGCGAAAGCCUGACGCAGCGACGUCGCGUGAGGGAAGAAGGCCUUCGGGUCGUAAACCUCUGUCGGGGGGGAAGAAAUUCCAGACGGUUAAUACCCGUUUGGAUUGACGGUACCCCCAAAGGAAGCAUCGGCUAACUACGUGCCAGCAGCCGCGGUAAUACGUAGGAUGCAAGCGUUGCUCGGAAUUACUGGGUGUAAAGAGCGUGUAGGUGGCUAGAUAAGUCAGUGGUGAAAGCCCUCGGCUCAACCGGGGAACUGCCAUUGAUACUGUCUGGCUUGAGUACGGGAGAGGAAAGGGGAAUUCCUGGUGUAGCGGUGAAAUGCGUAGAUAUCAGGAGGAACGCCGGUGGCGAAGGCGCCUUUCUGGACCGAUACUGACACUGAGACGCGAAAGCGUGGGGAGCAAACAGGAUUAGAUACCCUGGUAGUCCACGCCCUAAACGAUGGGCACUAGGUGUGGGAACUUUUAGAGUUUCCGUGCCGAAGCUAACGCAUUAAGUGCCCCGCCUGGGAAGUACGAUCGCAAGGUUGAAACUCAAAGGAAUUGACGGGGGCCCGCACAAGCGGUGGAGCAUGUGGUUUAAUUCGACGCUACGCGAAAAACCUUACCUAGGCUUGACAUCUGGAGAACGCCCUAGAAACAGGGAAGUGCCUUCGGGAGCUCCAAGACAGGUGCUGCACGGCUGUCGUCAGCUCGUG
rnacentral:rRNA from 1 species